UACGUAGGGUGCAAGCGUUGUCCGGAAUUAUUGGGCGUAAAGAGCUCGUAGGCGGUCUGUCGCGUCGGCUGUGAAAACUCGGGGCUCAACUCCGAGCUUGCAGUCGAUACGGGCAGGCUAGAGUUCGGCAGGGGAGACUGGAAUUCCUGGUGUAGCGGUGAAAUGCGCAGAUAUCAGGAGGAACACCUGUGGCGAAAGCGGCUCACUGGACCACAACUGACGCUGAGGCGCGAAAGCUAGGGGAGCAAACAGG
rnacentral:rRNA from 1 species